rnacentral:rRNA from 1 species
UACGUAGGGGGCAAGCGUUGUCCGGAUUUAUUGGGCGUAAAGAGCGUGUAGGCGGCCUGGAAGGUCAGCUGUGAAAACUCGAGGCUCAACCUCGAGACGUCGGUUGAAACCACUUGGCUAGAGUCCGGAAGAGGAGUGUGGAAUUCCCGGUGUAGCGGUGAAAUGCGCAGAUAUCAGGAGGAACACCGGUGGCGAAGGCGGGUCUCUGGGCCGAUACUGACGCUGAGGAGCGAAAGCGUGGGGAGCGAACAGG